GUAGUUCAGUUGGUUAGAAUAUCGGCCUGUCACGCCGAGGGUCGCGGGUUCGAGUCCCGUC
rnacentral:tRNA from 1 species